CAUUGGCUAGCCCCGCACAUACAUUAGCCCAUAUAUUGGGCUGCCAGCCUCCUGUCCCCUGGAAUUCGGGGGGCCCUGGACGCUCAGAGCAGGGUCUCGGGGUUUUCUCUGCUUGGGAUGGAGGACACCGAGGCUGCCGUCCGGAUCCCGACGGCCUGAUCCUGAAGACCUUUUCUCUGCCCCCUUUGCUUCCCGCCUCCAGUUUCUCUCUCUCGUCCGCUGCUCUGGGCUCCGUCCCUUCCUUCAGGAUCCUGAUCAAUAAAGACUUUUGUUUCCGUUCUGA